GAUGAACGCUGGCGGCGUGCUUAACACAUGCAAGUCGAACGAAGCACUUUAUUUGAUUUCCUUCGGGACUGAUUAUUUUGUGACUGAGUGGCGGACGGGUGAGUAACGCGUGGGUAACCUGCCUUGUACAGGGGGAUAACAGUUGGAAACGGCUGCUAAUACCGCAUAGGCGCACAGCAUCGCAUGAUGCAGUGUGAAAAACUCCGGUGGUAUAAGAUGGACCCGCGUUGGAUUAGCUAGUUGGUGAGGUAACGGCCCACCAAGGCGACGAUCCAUAGCCGACCUGGGAGGGGGACCGGCCACAUUGGGACUGAGACACGGCCCAAACUCCUAGGGGGGGCAGCAGUGGGGAAUAUUGCAAAAUGGGCGAAAGCCUGAUGCAGCGACGCCGGGUGAGCGAAGAAUUUUUUCGGUAUGUAAAGCUCUAUCAGAAGGGAAGAUAAUGACGGUACCUGACUAAGAAGCACCGGCUAAAUACGU
rnacentral:rRNA from 1 species